rnacentral:rRNA from 1 species
CCUCGGGCGGCAGCAGUGGGGAAUAUUGGACAAUGGGCGAAAGCCUGAUCCAGCCAUGCCGCGUGUGUGAAGAAGGCCUUCGGGUUGUAAAGCACUUUCAGUGGGGAAGAAAGCCUUGGGGCUAAUACCCUCGAGGAAGGACAUCACCCACAGAAGAAGCACCGGCUAACUCCGUGCCAGCAGCCGCGGUAAUACGGAGGGUGCGAGCGUUAAUCGGAAUUACUGGGCGUAAAGCGCGCGUAGGCGGUCUGAUAAGCCGGUUGUGAAAGCCCCGGGCUCAACCUGGGAACGGCAUCCGGAACUGUCAGGCUAGAGUGCAGGAGAGGAAGGUAGAAUUCCCGGUGUAGCGGUGAAAUGCGUAGAGAUCGGGAGGAAUACCAGUGGCGAAGGCGGCCUUCUGGACUGACACUGACGCUGAGGUGCGAAAGCGUGGGUAGCGAACAGGAUUAGAUACCCCUGUAGUC